rnacentral:rRNA from 1 species
AUUGAACGCUGGCGGCAUGCCUUACACAUGCAAGUCGAACGGCAGCACGGGUGCUUGCACCUGGUGGCGAGUGGCGAACGGGUGAGUAAUACAUCGGAACGUACCUUAUCGUGGGGGAUAACGCAGCGAAAGUUGCGCUAAUACCGCAUACGCCCUGAGGGGGAAAGCGGGGGACCGUAAGGCCUCGCGCGAUUAGAGCGGCCGAUGUCUGAUUAGCUUGUUGGUGAGGUAAAAGCUCACCAAGGCGAUGAUCAGUAGCUGGUCUGAGAGGACGAUCAGCCACACUGGGACUGAGACACGGCCCAGACUCCUACGGGAGGCAGCAGUGGGGAAUUUUGGACAAUGGGGGCAACCCUGAUCCAGCAAUGCCGCGUGAGUGAAGAAGGCCUUCGGGUUGUAAAGCUCUUUUGUCAGGGAAGAAACAGCAGCUCUAACACAGACGGCGAAUGACGGUACCUGAAGAAUAAGCACCGGCUAACUACGUGCCAGCAGCCGCGGUAAUACGUAGGGUGCGAGCGUUAAUCGGAAUUACUGGGCGUAAAGCGUGCGCAGGCGGUUAUACAAGACAGGCGUGAAAUCCCCGGGCUUAACCUGGGAAUGGCGUCUGUGACUGUAUAGCUAGAGUGUGUCAGAGGGGGGUGGAAUUCCACGUGUAGCAGUGAAAUGCGUAGAUAUGUGGAGGAACACCAAUGGCGAAGGCAGCCCCCUGGGAUAACAC